UACGUAGGGGGCUAGCGUUGUCCGGAAUCAUUGGGCGUAAAGCGCGUGUAGGCGGUCCGGUAAGUCCGCUGUGAAAGUCGGGGGCUCAACCCUCGGAUGCCGGUGGAUACUGUCGGGCUUGAGUACGGAAGAGGCGAGUGGAAUUCCUGGUGUAGCGGUGAAAUGCGCAGAUAUCAGGAGGAACACCGGUGGCGAAGGCGGCUUUCUGGACAGAUACCGACGCUGAGGCACGAAAGCUAGGGGAGCAAACAGG
rnacentral:rRNA from 1 species